ACGAACCGUGCGAACGUUAUUCGGAAUCACUGGGCUUAAAGCGCGUGUAGGCGGAUGGGUGCGUCGGAACUUGAAAGCCCCCGGCUCAACCGAGGAAGUGGGGCCGAAACGACCCGUCUGGAGGGACGUAGGGGGAUCUGGAACUUCCGGUGGAGCGGUGAAAUGCGUUGAGAUCGGAAGGAACGCCCGUGGCGAAAGCGAGAUCCUGGACGUUUUCUGACGCUGAGACGCGAAAGCUAGGGGAGCAAACGGGA
rnacentral:rRNA from 1 species